AGCUCACGCUGGUCCCCGUGGGAAUUGAGGUUCAGGUGCCUGCGAGAGGCCGCUCGUUGCGGAGCCGUGUGCCUGGAACCAAACCAGUGCCCGGGUGGCACUGGGACCAGCACUGGGGGCCAGCACGACCCCAGCAGCCCCCCAGGAUGUGGCAGCCACCCGGAGGGCUGCCACCGCCUCGCCUUGCACAGGCUUUUCGCCCCCGCCUUUUUAUUAUUUCCGAAUUUAUCAUCAUCCCCCUCCCGGGAAAGUUCCCCCGCUCAGCCUGGCGGUGCAGAACAAGCGGCCAAAAAAGAAAGGGAUGGGUUUCCAUGGCAACUGCCUUCCCCGAGGAGGGCUGCGGUCACCUGGGCGCGCAUCCUGCUCGCCGCCAGCCCCUGCCAAACCCCUCCGGGGCCGUGGUGGGCAGGGGCCAGGGCCAUCACUUUGUGCCCUAUUCGUGCCGAGGCCGACGGCCGGGCCAAGCAGGACGAUAAUCAUCAUCAUCAUCAUCAUCAUCAUCAUCAUCAUCAUCAUCAUCACCACCAGGCUCUUUUCCCUCUAAAGGCAGAGGCAUCUCCCCAAAGCCCUCGGAGGGCAAGGGCUUGCCAUCCUCUUCCCCCCCAGCGAAAGAAGGGCAUGCCUGCAAUUACAAGACGAAUCGAUGCUUUUCCUCGCCGGCCUUAUUUCGGAGCUGCGGGAGCACUGCCUGAGAUUUCGGUGCAGUUGGGAUUUGUGAUAACGCCCAUUGCCAAUUUGGGUUUUUCACCCCGCAGCUCGCGUCGCGCGGCUUACCCCAAGGCCCACGCACGGUGUCAGUAUUUGAAGAGGUUCAGCGUAACACAACCUGAGGUUCGGGAGCCGAACCGGAAUGUGAAUAAUGCCUCUCUGGUGCGCUCGGCCCCCCCUUUUUCCUCCCCUGUUUCCUUUCAUGUGUCGCAUGCUGGGGUUUUUUUACACCUCGGAUCUGCAGAAGAGGGAACACAACUUCCAACAAGCCGAAAUUGCACCGGGGGAGAGAGGAGGAUGGCUCAGACAGUUCCCUGCAUGAAACCCCUCCUCGCCUGCCCAGCAUCGCAGCCUCCCCAUCCCGGCUGUCCACGGGGUUUUCGCCUUUCUGCCUCUUCCCCUUGGACCCCCAGCCAGGCUCCUUCACGCCGUAAGAUUGAGCCAAGCUGCUCAAUAAAGGCAGCCAUGGGGGGGUUUUAG
rnacentral:lncRNA from 1 species